GAUGAGAACGUAGCGAAAUGCGAUACUUGGUGUGAAUUGCAGAAUCCCGUGAACCAUCGAGUCUUUGAACGCAAGUUGCGCCCGAAGCCAUUAGGCCGAGGGCACGCCUGCCUGGGCGUCACACGUCGUUGCCCCCCCAUCUACUCCUUCGGGAUUGCGGGGGGCGGAUGAUGGCCUCCCGUGCGCCUCGUCGCGCGGUUGGCAUAAAUGCCAAGUCCUCGGCGACACACGCCACGACAAUCGGUGGUUGCGAAACCUCGGUUGCCCGUCGUGUGCGGUCGUCGCGCAUCGAGGGCUCGAAAAAAUUGCCGGGCUCCGGCUCGGCUUUCAACGCGACCCCAGGUCAGGCGGGGUUACCCGCUGAAUUUAAGCAUAUCAAUAAGCGGAGGA
rnacentral:misc_RNA from 1 species